GCUGGAGUUCUCCCUGUUUGUGAGCUGCCAGACUGGAAACGGCCUGCUCAAGUGACUUGGAGAAAGCAGGUGAAGGAGAGGGUAUCUGGGGCCGCAGGCAGACUGCAGUGGUGUGGAAGGCACAGGGUGGAGUGGAUACUAAAGAGAGGUCUUUCUCUUCUGUCAGAACAUCCACACGUGAUCUGUCUCCUGUCUUUUGUUUUCCUCAGCUGUCAGGAGGCAGACUUUUGGGGCAGCCUAUCUUUCACUUUCUUAGUUCUAUAGACUGCCUCGAGGGUAAGGAUGCUGCAGCAGCGUGCCUCACAAGUGUGGGCUGAGGUAUCACAGACCCUGGUUCUGGAAAAACAAGCAUUCCUUCUUAAGCCUUUUCUAGGAACUUUGGCUUGCAAGGCAGCUCGUCUCCUUUCUUUGAGAUGGGGCUUAUUUGCUAAGCAAAGGCAGCACCAUCACAUCUUGCGGAUGCUUGGAGCAAACAUCAGUAGCAAAUGAUCCUCUUAAGCAAGUGCAAGCGGCUGCAGGCAACGCUGGGGGCUAAGCGUACAGAAUGGACUAAAACCGAAACAACCGCUCAACCUCAAUGCCACCGAGCAUUGGAGGGACCCUUCAGAAUACUGAUGUGGGGAAGGCUUUUCAAACAAACAGCUGACGGACUGGGAGAGGGGCUGCAUUCCAUAUGAGCAAACCUCUUGCAUUUUGGGGCACCAACUCAUGACUUCCUCAUUGUCUGGCUACUGAAAGACUCAGCUACUGGGGACCUGGAUAAGGGUAUCAGAGGCGUGGACCUGAGCUAGAAAAAACAAACAAACCAGAAACAAUAUAAACCACCAUCAAUAUUUCACUCUACCUAUUGCUAGGGCAAAGUGGUCUAUGCUUAGGGUUUGGAAAAGGAACCCUUGGAGAUUUUCAUGCAAUCCCUGAUCAGUCUUGGCAUUCAUGUCUGUUCCUUUAGGAACUCUCUUUUUGACAGAAGCCUAGGAUAGGCCUUAUAACACAGAGAGGAAGUUAGGGAAGGCUGAUGCCCAGAUGAACAUGUGUUACUAUGAUAGUAGGGCCAGUGUAAUUGGGACUACACAGGCAUUCACACUUCUCCUUCAUAAGGUAUUUGUGGAAUGGCUGUGUUUACAUGACUGUUGUAGUGGUCUCUGGGGCUUGAUGUUUAUGCUCAGUUCCCUUUUAAGUGGCAUCAUUAGAAACCUGUUUUCUUCCCAACCUGUCUGGUUCCUAGUUUAUCUUAUUUUACGCUGUAUUUCUUCUCCUGCAGGAUAGGUCUUCCUGAACAAACCAGGUCUACUUCUACCUCCAGACAGAGAUUCAAGGAGUUUAAGAAUUUGUACCAGAUGGGUUCUCGGCAUGAGUCCAGUCCUGAUAUCAUGUCCCAAUUCUGAUAACUGAAGUAGGGAACAGUCCCUAGAAGACCUCACACUGUGCCCUAGGUAAAAGGUUCACCUUUGUGGUAUUUCUGGUCUCUGGGCCUGUCCUCAAGUAUCCUCAGCGCCUAGAAAGAGCUGUUUCUCCUCCUUCCAAGAGAAAGAGACCUUCUAGAUACAGUGCAUAAUGACUGCUUUUCUUUUAUAUUCGUCAUAAAGAUCGAUAAUCCACAUAUAAUUUCCACACUGGGCGGUUCAAUCCAUUCUCUUUUUGGUGAGGAACAUGACGGCAUGCAGGUGGACAUGGUUCUGGAGAAGGAUCCAAGAGUUCUUUAUCUGGAUCUGGAGGCUGCAGGAAGAGCAAGUGAGACCCUGGGCCUGGCUUGAGCUUCUGAAGCCUCUAAGCCCAACUCAAGUGACACACUUCCUCCAACCAGGCCACACCUCCUAAUAAUGCUGCUCCCUGUGAGCAUAGGAGGCCCAUGUUCAUUCAAAACACCAUAGGGACCGAUGGCCACUCCCAUGUA